CUGGCCUGCAGUUUUCAAUAAAAGCACAGAAAGUAGUGCUCUCUAUGUUGCUGUGCCACUGAAAGAAGCCGAUGGUCCCAAGAUACCACAGACAAGAUGAAAACUCUACAAAAAGUUGACACAUUUCAUUAUAUUUUCAUAAGUUACUGGCUCCUGUGAAUAAUGUUCGCUCAAUACUAACAACUGGAUGUUGGAAGAGAUGAUGAAAUUCUACUAGGAUCCUGGUGGGUUUUACAGGAAAGAAUCUUAUAGUUAAAAAUAUAAAGUGUGUAG
rnacentral:lncRNA from 1 species